ACUCCUACGGGAGGCAGCAGUGGGGAAUUUUGGACAAUGGGCGAAAGCCUGAUCCAGCAAUGCCGCGUGUGUGAAGAAGGCCUUCGGGUUGUAAAGCACUUUUGUCCGGAAAGAAAUGGCUCUGGUUAAUACCUGGGGUCGAUGACGGUACCGGAAGAAUAAGGACCGGCUAACUACGUGCCAGCAGCCGCGGUAAUACGUAGGGUCCAAGCGUUAAUCGGAAUUACUGGGCGUAAAGCGUGCGCAGGCGGUUGUGCAAGACCGAUGUGAAAUCCCCGAGCUUAACUUGGGAAUUGCAUUGGUGACUGCACGGCUAGAGUGUGUCAGAGGGGGGUAGAAUUCCACGUGUAGCAGUGAAAUGCGUAGAGAUGUGGAGGAAUACCGAUGGCGAAGGCAGCCCCCUGGGAUAACACUGCACGGCUCAUGCACGAAAGCGUGGGGAGCAAACAGGAUUAGAUACCCUGGUAG
rnacentral:rRNA from 1 species